ACUGGAUUGGCAGAUUAAGUGCUUUAAAUUUAGAAUUUAAAAAUGUAAAUUUUAUUUAUGUCUAGUA
rnacentral:tRNA from 1 species